rnacentral:lncRNA from 1 species
GGAGCGUAAACGUCACCGCGUUUCGUCUCGCUGUGCUGUUUGUCUUGACCCUCUGCGCACGCCUUACGUGUCAAUGUGGCUGUGGCGUUCUCCUGGUGUGUGCAAUCCACAUCAAAAUAUUAGUUAGAAAAAAUAAAUAUUAAUUAUGGGAGAUGACUGAGCACCCACUCCAGGUUAACAACACUAGCAGCUCCCGCUGUUCUUUCUUCAACGCAGCGCCCGACGAUUAUCGAUGUGAUGUGAUUCUUAAAGUGAAAAGAGCCACAGGGACAUUUUCACUAGUGGCAUGCUUUUUCAUGCUGUUUGCGAUAUGGCUGUUCCGCCGAUAUAACUCUUUGGCUCAGAAAAUGAUAUUUAGUCUGACAGUAGCUGCAUUUUUUGACAGUGUUGCUUAUGUUAUGGGAGAGUCUCAUCCAGAGGGGUCUCUGUGUAGUUUUCAAGCCUGGUGGCUCACAUAUUUUGACUGGACUGCGCUGAUGUGGGUUUGUCUUAUUACUUUUAAUCUGUACCUGAACCUGGUGAGAGAAAUUAGAACUGAACAUUAUGAGAUACUAUACCAUGUGGUGGCAUGGGGGGUUCCUCUGCUCAUGUCCACCCUCCCCCUGAUGGCUGGAUACUACGGUCCUGCUGGAGCCUGGUGUUGGAUUACAGAUAAUCAUGUUGGGUGGAGGUUUGGCAUAUGGUACGUUCCUCUGUUUAGCCUGAUUAUCCUCAUGAUCUGCUGUUAUGCUCGAAUCAUCUGUGUGGCCAACGAGAGGUAUGGCUGAAAGUGACAUUCCGCAUUCCAGAACAUUAUG